CUCUUCACCUCAUUCUCUUAAGCACAUUGUGUAAUCCUCCAGAUGUUCUUGAAGUGCAAAGCCUAUGGUCUCAAUGACUAUAGUGACUGAACCUGAUGGGAGUUGUGAUCCAGCCCUGGACAAUGUAACCAAUGCAGCAGGCAGAGAUAUGAAUCAACAGCAUCUAGUGGGCCCCAGAUUCCCAUCCUUGAUCUCCAACAGGACUGAGAUUGAAGUAAAGAUGCAUUAUUUAGCCUGUGUAUAUUCUGCCUGUAUUACAGUGGAUGCCUUGGGCUGUAUCUUCCACUGAAAUGAAUGGUUAAUAAACACCCUGGUCUAAAACUUCCUUUCUAUCAAAGCUCUAAUUUAGACACUCAGGUCAAGGCCACAUUUCAUGAUUUUUCUAGCUGAAGUUUAAUUUUUUAAAAAGAGAACAAUUAGCAAAAGACUAAUAACCAACUAUGCAGCCUUGGAUUGCUGACGUUCGUAGGAGUUAAGUGACAACUGUCUGAUCAUAAUUAAAACAUUUGAGAGAGAUGUGUCAUCCACACUACUGCGACUUGCAGUUAUUUAUAGGCACAUUAUUGCGGGGGAUACUGGGAAUGCUCGGGUGCAGCUGCCAUUGUACUAACAGCUGUCAUAAACAUCCAUCCUUUAUUGUUGUCCUCUGAGUUCCUCCUCUUUGACUCAUUUGCAUCCAAAGCUCUCUGUCAUUGUUUUCGUUGAAGCCCUUGAAAGAGGGGGUGAAGGACAUACAUGCUGUUAGAACUGUCACAAAAGGCAAGAAAGAACACAUCUGCUUUCAAGACAUUUUGAACAUUCACAACAUUAAGAUACAAGCAAUACAUUUAAACAAGCAUUCACUACUCACUGACAACACAAUACACAACACGCAUGAUAAUAUGGGGAUGAUUAUUUCUUGCCUAAGAAAGCGCUAUGAAAUUCAUAGGGUAAUCAUAAAUUGAGAAGUGACUUGAAGGAAAAUGCAUGCCAGUGGCUCUAUUUAAAUGACAUACCUGUACCUGAUAACAUCAAGGCUGUUUUAUGUUUGAAGUCAUGAGGUGUUUCUAUCAUGUGCCAUUUGAACUAUUCUAAUUUGGGCACCACUUUUCUUGUUUCAUCUGGAACUUUAAAUUCAGGAGAAAAAUGUGAAGGAAAACUUUUACAAAAACUAAAGAAAAUACAGGCUCAUGACAGGGGUCCUGCUAUAGGAUGUAGGUAAGAUGAUGCAAGGGAGUGAGUUGACUAGUUCAAGGUCAUAGGAGAUAUUUUAUUUUCUAUUAUAGUCAAUACUGGAAUUGUGUUAAUAUCUUGCAAAUCUCUUUAAGUCUUGGAGAAAAUAGAUUAUCUAAAUGAAAACCACUAUCACUAUCAUCUCUCCAAACAGAACAUAAAAAAGAAAACUUGAUUUUCCAUUUACAGAUCAUGGAGCCAACUUGGUGAGGUGAGACUGGUGCCUCAGGCUGCUGACGUUCAGUGUCAUGAAAGGGCAACCAACUGUUAGUUUUUAAAAUGUGUUAUUAUUGUUGUUUUGCUGCCAGGAAGAGGGAGAAUUGCUUGCAGCAUUUUCUACCUUGCAUGCCAAAAUAAUGUUAGCUGACAUUGGUACUAUAGUUUGAUUGGUGAUGGAUGCCAUUUGCUUGUCUCCCUGAAGCAGGAAAAGAAGUAUUUAGUUGGCUCAGUAUGCACAACAGAGUAGCAUUCAAAAGUGUCUCCCACCUGUAGCCAGAUAUGACACUAUCCCUAAGCAAUUCACUUCCCCUAUUUACAGACACACAGUCUAAGUGGUAAGGCAGGUGGUUCUGAAAGCUGCAAUGAGUGGCAAAGCAUUACUGUAUAUUAUGUUUAAAUCUAGAAGCUUUAAUGAAAAAAACCCCCUCAAAACCUUGGGUCAACUUAUCCACAUCUCAGUGUAAGUAUGUACUGUAACUCUUAUGAAAAAAGGGACUAUCUCCUUAUCUGAGUAGAGUGGUGAAUGGCAAGAGCUUAAUCUAUCCCAGGAGAACCGAAAAACAGCACUGACUCACUUUACUCUCUUCACCCUGGUGCUGCUUCUGGCAGGUAGAAAAACGAUGGUGUCAGCUCUUUGUUGCUUUCACUUAAAGGAAUAGCAAGAGAGCCCAAGGGCUUGAUGAUUCUUUUAGGUUCUCUCAGGACUAAGCUCUUGUCUUUCAUCAUUCUACUCAGAGAAUGAUGGGUUUUAAAAAUAAGAGUUCAUAUUGUACCUUAACAUUCAUUUAAAAAGGUCCCCUUUUUGGAGUAGAAAGAAUGUCCUGGAUGGGAAAAUGGUAGCACUGACAGCAGGGAUCCCUGGUGCUUUUCUCUGUGUGGAAUGACCUGCAAUUUACCCAUGGGUCAUAUCAAAAUCCAUAAUUUUGGCCCCCAAACCUGCCUUUAAAUUAUACAUGAGGUCAAUUUAUACACAGGUAUAUACUAUAUUUCAAUGCCAGAUGGUUGAAAAUAGUAGUAACUGUGUUACAGGAGUUAUGAUGGGUCUAUCCACUGCACUCUACUGUGGUCUAGCAGUUCUGCAAGAUCAUGUGCAGAAUUUCCACCCAGUUCUCCAGUUGCCUGUGAUCUUUUUAUAUAGAGAUGCCAGGGAAUGACGCUGGAACUGUCAGCCUCCAAAGCCUGCUUUCUGCUGAGCUGCACAUUAGCUUGAACACACUCGGUAAAAAUCAGCAUGGAAGUUUCCAACUGUGGGUUAAGGUCAAAGGUUACUGCCCUUAAAGUUAGCAGAGAAACCAGGGAAAUGCUUCACAUUCUUUUGUGUCUUACUCUCUUGUCUCUUUUUAGGUAGCCAAAACUGGUUUGGUCCAAAGUAAUUCAACUCAGCGGGCUGAGUCUCAGGUGACCAAGACAGCUGUCAUUAUGAUCCUAGCCUUUCUUCUUAGCUGGAUGCCUUAUGCAGCUUUUGCUCUGACCAAAGUAGUGAAACCAGAUGUGACCAUGGAUCCCAACAUUCGGAGUAUUCCUCUGUUCAUGGCUAAAACAGGAAUCAUAUACAACCCAGUGGUUUAUGUCUGUCUGAACAAGCAGUAUCGAGAACAAGUUGCAGCCUCCUUACAAUGCCUAUGGAAAUGCAGAGUCGUGCCCAGUAAGCACCAUGUGCUGAAUGCUUUGCCUCCUGCGCUGAAGAGACUGCAAGGGAAGCAGGUCAGCUGCAAUACCAACAGGAUAGCUCCUCAGAAUGAGUUGAACAUCAGCAGGAAUCUCCUCUUGCCAAACAUGAGCUAUUCCGAUGAUGAAUCCUCCUCUCAAUAAAUGCCACAGCUUUUAACUUUUCA